GUGCUCACUUCAACAGCACAUAUACUAAAAUUGGAAUGAUACAGAGAUUGGCAUGGCCCUUGUGCAAAGAUGACAUGCAAAUUCGUGAAGCAUUCCAUACUUUU